rnacentral:rRNA from 1 species
UGGGAAGUAUUGCACAAUGGGCGCAAGCCUGAUGCAGCCAUGCCGCGUGUGUGAAGAAGGCCUUCGGGUUGUAAAGCACUUUCAGCGGGGAGGAAGCCGGUGAGGUUAAUAACCUCAUCGAUUGACGUUACCCGCAGAAGAAGCACCGGCUAACUCCGUGCCAGCAGCCGCGGUAAUACGGAGGGUGCAAGCGUUAAUCGGAAUUACUGGGCGUAAAGCGCACGCAGGCGGUCUGUCAAGUCGGAUGUGAAAUCCCCGGGCUCAACCUGGGAACUGCAUUCGAAACUGGCAGGCUAGAGUCUUGUAGAGGGGUAGGGAUUCAGGAUUUGUCAGGUCGGUAGCAAGUUGCAAUUGCUAGAGAUCUGGAGGAAUACCGGUGGCGAAGGCGGCCCC